AGUGAACGCUGGCGGUAGGCCUAACACAUGCAAGUCGAACGGCAGCACAGUAAGAGCUUGCUCUUACGGGUGGCGAGUGGCGGACGGGUGAGGAAUACAUCGGAAUCUACUUUUUCGUGGGGGAUAACGUAGGGAAACUUACGCUAAUACCGCAUACGACCUACGGGUGAAAGCAGGGGAUCUUCGGACCUUGCGCGAUUGAAUGAGCCGAUGUCGGAUUAGCUAGUUGGCGGGGUAAAGGCCCACCAAGGCGACGAUCCGUAGCUGGUCUGAGAGGAUGAUCAGCCACACUGGAACUGAGACACGGUCCAGACUCCUACGGGAGGCAGCAGUGGGGAAUAUUGGACAAUGGGCGCAAGCCUGAUCCAGCCAUACCGCGUGGGUGAAGAAGGCCUUCGGGUUGUAAAGCCCUUUUGUUGGGAAAGAAAAGCAGCAGGUUAAUACCCCGCUGUUCUGACGGUGCCCAAAGAAUAGGCACCGGCUAACUUCGUG
rnacentral:rRNA from 1 species